GCGGCGGCGGGCAGGCCCAGGCGGCGGCAGAGGCCCAGCGCCGCGGCCUCCAGCGCUCCGACGUAGGCGCGCAGCGAGAGGCCGAGGCGCCGCAGGUCCAGCACCGGGUAGGCCAGCAGCUGGCCCGGGCCGUGGAAGAACAUGACUCACCGUUGAAGGUGACUGCACCUGUAUUUCUCCACCUCCCCUGAGGUCCAGCAAGGAUACUCACUCGCGCCUUCCCCUCUGUUGCCUGCGUCUCACUCCCAUCUGAGCAGGAAGCCCCACACCUGGACUGGGCCCCAUUGUGCUAGGUGCUGUACAAACACAAGAAAAGGAUCCCUGCCUGAACGAGUUACAGUCAAAGUUUAUUUCCCCAACCAGAGCAUCUUCUUCUUUCUUUCCUAGCAUGUUGGUAGCAUGAAAGGUUUUGUAUUAAUAACCUUGGACUGUGUGAUUCCUUUAACACACCUUACAACGGUGACUGUGUCCAGCUUCUCCCAUGAUUUCAUAUACUGUGGUGCAUUUCCUGGUCACCAGUGUGAACUGGUCACAGUGUGAUGGCCUGUGAAGUCUCAGCAUAAUGGCACUUCAGAAUGGUGAAGGACCCCAUCUCCAUUCAUGGAGAGACUGAAGAUGCUGACCGCUAGUUCCAAACACUGCAUGGAAAAUUCAUAUUUUUCUCUAUAGAUUUAGGCCCAGCUCCACAAAGGUUAAAUACCUCUGUGGAUUAGUGCUUAGCAAAUAUUUAACUACCUACGGCAAUUAGAAAUAACCAUCUGGACUGAAGGCAUAGAACACCUUAAGGAUCCUGGCCCCUUUGAAACCCCAGCCCUACACAGGACUAGCUAAAGACGAUGUUUAUACAACACCUUUCUUCCUGGAAGAUCUCAGAGGAGAGGCAACCGGCCUACUACUGAAAUGCAGCCACUUCUGCGGAGCAACACAGUGGUCAUUUAACAGCCUGCGAGUUUGAAGUGAAGCAGGACAACAAUGAUCUCCCCUGCUAUUACAAUAAGUGGCCGCAGCCUUUUAGCAACCACAGGGAGGUAUCCACGACAUGGCUGUCACCAUGAUGAGUCCUCGGGUUUUGCUUCUGCUGAUGGCUCUGGCUCUGAGCAUCUGUCUGGGUGUCAGCACUGGAAACUGGGGCUGUGCCAAUUACCGGGGUUACUGCCGGGCCGCCUGCUUUCCCCAGGAGAAUUCUCUGGGCCCCAAGGACUGUGCUGAAGGGUUUGUCUGCUGUGUGUCAAGUGCUUUUGGAUAAGAGUGGCUUAGCCCGAGGAGCCGAUGGUACAAGAGAUGAAGCCCCACGGGGACUUUGCUGGCAUUGGGAAGAACACAAGAUGCUAAUGUCAAUGCGCAAUAAUUAUAAGCAAGAACUGGAACCUGCACAAAACCUUCACUGUUUCAUUACUAUAAAUAGGGUGUGGAUAAUUUUGGUCUUGAUCCUUCCCAUUGAAAUCAAUGGGAAAAUCCCUAUUGACUUCAAUGGGAGAAGGAUGGGGCUGUUUCUCUGCCUUCUGUAAUUACAUUUAUCCAGUGCAGCAGCAUAAGUACCAGAUUUGGCUUUAUGAUUUUGGCAACCUUCAGUCAGAUUAUAACCUGCAGGGGGCACACCCAUCUCUGCUCUCUCUUCUCAUUCCCUACCCACAAUCUAUCCCUCCUCCCUUUUCUCUGCCAAAUGGACACAUAGGAUAUAGAGUACCGAUCAAUGUGCUCAAAGAUGAAACAGACUCAAAGUCUCCAAGUUCGUUGUGGGACUGUCCUGCCAGCUGGGUGGGUCUGGCACACUCGGAUGGCCCGCAAGCUUCACAUAUUCCUAAAACCAACCCAGAUGUUCUGUGACAGGCCCUGUUUCUUUCAUUUAGGGAUCGAGCCACUACAAUGCUUGACUGAUAUUUCAGUAAUCGCUACAGACCCUGCAACAGAGAGGCUCAUUUCUGAAAAAUGAGGUUCAUGAUUGUGCUUUAGAUUUCUAACAAAUCUCGUCAGGGUGGGCUGAGGGCUCAUAUACUGUGGUGAUGCGUGCCCCUGUAAGAACACAGAUAGCUAGAUUAGAUAGAGAAAGGUUUCUGCAAGGGAUUAACUAAAAAAUCAGCAAAUAUCUGAUUUCAGGACAUAAUGCAAGAAAAUGUUAUUCUGCCUUUGACGAUGCACCACAUACAAAUUGUUAUUAUGUGAGUUCAAUACCAUAGACCCACAAUGACUGGCAGACUAUAUGGGAUACAAUCUUUCACCAGUUCAAAUCCAACCCCGGGUCAAUAUAACCCUAUAAGGACUCUCCAGUACCUGAUGUGAAAUGCAUUGGUGGGUCUCAGUACAGAUCUUAUUGGAAAGGUAUCCGGAUCACAAAUGCCUCCCAAACUGGCACAAACUUACUCCCUUCUCUGCAAUGUCAGCAAAAAGACCAAGGUUUGGACAAUUAGUGAGACAAGGUGGGUGAGGUAAUAUAUUUUAUUGGACCAAAUUCUGAAAGCUUGUCUCUCUCUCACCAACAAAUAAACAAUGUUACCUCACUCACCUUGUCUCCCUAAUAUCCUGGGACCAACACAGCUACAAGUGCACAGCAUACAAGGUUUCAGUAGACAUGGAGACUGAAGUCACCCCUGGAAGUGGUCUUUCUGAACUCCCUUCUGACUCUUAGAAGUGUCUUCUCCAGCUCAGGGAUGAGGCAUAUUUGAAGAGGAAACUCACACGGAUGCUGCCGGGAUAGCAGCAGAUACCACAGUGAUAGGCACUGUAUAAAAACCUGAAUAGAACAGAUUAGUUCCUUAGACUAACAGAAGUGUUCAGGGUCCAGGAACUCAUUUCUCCUACCACUGCGUACAAAUAACUCCCAGUGAAGUCAAGUCGUUAUUUGUAUCCAGUGGCAAAAGAACUGGGCUCCAACAUUGUCAGUUUGUGGGCCCUUCACCAGUGCUACAUUUUCUUAGAGAAGAGCAGUCUAUUCGCUCAUCAUGUCCAUCUCUCUGGCUGAUGCAGGAUUGCCCUCCACAGUACUGUAUAUACUUGAGCACACAAUCAAUGAAUGACCCAACUUGUAGGUGACACCUUUUCACUGGACUUACUGGAAGGCAAAAAGAAGUGAAGUGUGUGAUUCUUGACAACUGCUGAUUUAUUAUUUCUAGUUAAGACCAUAGCUGGAUAUUGUUGGCUACAAUAAUGGGGUGGGGAGAGGGAGUUAUUUUUUGACAGUGUAAUCAAUUGCAUUUGUUACAGAGCAGUAAAAACCUUGCUUGAGAAUGUCUCUGGAGUGUUUCUGGUUAGUGCAGGUUAAAAAUAUCUGAAAUAACAUCUCUCUUCUCUUCUCAGAUUAAUUGAAUUGCAUUUUAUUGUUCAGGACAAAUAAAAGUUGUUUAACUGGAAA